CCUACGGGGAGCAGCAGUGGGGAAUAUUGGACAAUGGGCGAAAGCCUGAUCCAGCCAUGCCGCGUGUGUGAAGAAGGCCUUCGGGUUGUAAAGCACUUUCAGUGGGGAAGAAAGCCUUGGGGCUAAUACCCUCGAGGAAGGACAUCACCCACAGAAGAAGCACCGGCUAACUCCGUGCCAGCAGCCGCGGUAAUACGGAGGGUGCGAGCGUUAAUCGGAAUUACUGGGCGUAAAGCGCGCGUAGGCGGUCUGAUAAGCCGGUUGUGAAAGCCCCGGGCUCAACCUGGGAACGGCAUCCGGAACUGUCAGGCUAGAGUGCAGGAGAGGAAGGUAGAAUUCCAGGUGUAGCGGUGAAAUGCGUAGAGAUCGGGAGGAAUACCAGUGGCGAAGGCGGCCUUCUGGACUGACACUGACGCUGAGGUGCGAAAGCGUGGGUAGCAAACAGGAUUAGAUACCCGUGUAGUC
rnacentral:rRNA from 1 species